AGAACGAACGCUGGCGGCAUGCCUAAUACAUGCAAGUCGAACGAACUCUUCGGAGUUAGUGGCGCACGGGUGCGUAACGCGUGGGAAUCUGCCCCUUGGUUCGGAAUAACAGUUGGAAACGACUGCUAAUACCGGAUGAUGACGAAAGUCCAAAGAUUUAUCGCCAAGGGAUGAGCCCGCGUAGGAUUAGCUAGUUGGUGAGGUAAAGGCUCACCAAGGCAACGAUCCUUAGCUGGUCUGAGAGGAUGAUCAGCCACACUGGGACUGAGACACGGCCCAGACUCCUACGGGAGGCAGCAGUAGGGAAUAGUUGGACAAGUGGGCGAAAGCCUGAUCCAGCAAUGCCGCGUGAGUGAUGAAGCGUUAGGUGUAAAGCUACUUUACCGAGUAUAGAA
rnacentral:rRNA from 1 species